rnacentral:rRNA from 1 species
GACGAACGCUGGCGGCGCGCUUAACACAUGCAAGUCGAGCGAAGCGGCGGACGGGUGAGUAACACGUGAGUAACCUGCCUUAGACAUUGGGAUAGCCUCGGGAAACCGGGAUUAAUAACAAAUGGUCUAAGAUGGACUCUCGUCCCAUUAGCUCGUGGGUGAGGUAACGGUCCACCCAGGCGACGAAGGGUAGCCGGCCGGAGAGGGGGAACGGGCACAUUGGAACUGAGAAACGGUCCAAACUCUACGGGAGGCAGCAGGGGGGAAUAGUGCACAAUGGAGGGAACUCUGAUGCAGCGACGGCGCGUGAACGAAGAAGGCUUUCGAGUCGUAAAGUGCUUGUAUAGGGGAAGCGGUACCAUAAGAAAAAGCCCCGGCUAACUACGUGCCAGCAGCCGCGGUAAUAC